GUCUACAGCCAUACCACCCUGAACGUGCCCAACCUCAUCUGAUCUCAGAAGCUAAGCAGGAUCGGGCCAGGUUAGUACUUGAAUGGGAGACCGUCUGGAAAUACCAGGUGCUGCAGGGA
rnacentral:rRNA from 1 species